UUAAGGGCGUAUGGUGGAUGCCUUGACUUUAAGAGGCGAUGAAGGACGUGGCGUUGCUGCGAUAAGCUUCGGGGAGGUGCUUAGCUACCUUUGAUCCGGAGAUUUCCGAAUGGGGAAACCCUAUCAAGUAAACCUUGAUAACUUUUAUCUUUAUGAUAAAAGAGCAUACCCUGGGAAGUGAAACAUCUCAGUACCAGGAGGAAUAGAGACAAAUAUGUAUUUCCUUAGUAGCGGCGAGCGAAAAGGAAGAAGCCCAAACCGUUCUCGCAAGAGGGCGGGGUUGUAAGAUGACAAUGUAGUUUACUAGGAGAGUUAAAAAAUAAAUUAUUAGUUGAAGUUGCUGGAAAGCGACACCGUAGGGGGUGAUAGUCCCGUAAACGAAAAUAAUUUAUCUCUUUUAUUGUUAUUCUUGAGUACCCCAGGACAUGAAUGGCCGGGGGGAAUCUAGCGGAACUAACCGCUAAGGCUAAAUACUCUUAAAGAUCGAUAGUGAACAAGUACCGUGAGGGAAAGGUGAAAAGCAGCCCGAUUAGGGCGGUGAAAUAGACCUGAAACCAUAUGUCUACAAGGAGUCGGAGCAGGUAUUUAUAUCUGCAACGGCGUGCCUAUUGAAGAAUGAGCCAACGAGUUUAUUCAUACUGCAAGGCUAAGCUGGCUAAAACAGCAGAGCCGAAGGGAAACCGAGUGUUAAUAGCGCGAAUGAGUAGUAUGCAUAAGACCCGAAGCCAGGUGAGCUUGCCAUGAGCAGGUUGAAGUUUGUCGAAAGACAAAUGGAGGACCGAACCGGUAGAUCGUACAACGUCUUCGGAUGACUUGUGGUAAGGAGUGAAAAGCUAAUCGAACCUGGUAAUAGCUGGUUCUCUCCGAAAUAGCUUUAGGGCUAGCGUCAAGUGUUUGUAGAGCACUGGAAGGUUUCGACAGGGAGCAAUCUCGCGAAACCUAUCAAACUCCGAAUACCAGAAACCAUAGCUUGGCAGUUAGGCCAUGGGGGCGAAGCUCCAUUGGCCAAAAGGGAAACAGCCCAGAUCUCAAAAUAAGGUCCCUAAAUUUAUGCUAAGUGUAAGAUAAGAAGGUGGAAUUUCUCUGACAAUGAGGAGGUUGGCUUAGAAGCAGCCAUCCUUUAAAGAUAGCGUAACAGCUCACUCAUCUAGAGAUUUUGCGUCGAAAAUAAUUGGGGCUAAGCAUAGUACCGAAUUUGAGGAUUCUGCUGUGAAGUAGGACUCGUGAGAGCCUAUGGAGCGUUUGGAAGUAAGAAUGUUGGCACAAGUAACCGCAAUGAGGGUGAGAUCCCCUCACGUCGAAAGAUCAAGGUUUCCUUGGUAAUGUCAAUCAGCCAAGGGUUAGUCGGGCCUAAGGGAAUGGAGAAAUCCGUACUCGAUGGACAUAGGGUUAAUAUUCCCUGACUUCUGUAUUUUGUGAUGGGACGACGGAGUGUAGUAUGUAUUGCUCAUUAUUGGAUUUGAAGUUUGUUUACUAAAGAUGAGGUGUAGGAAAAUCCGCACACUGCUUUCAAUGGCAAAUCUAAGGUAAAUGAAAAGUCUUAAGCCUCGGUUUAGGACAAUAAUACAAAGCACGCUUCCAAGAAAAAUCUCUAAACUUAAAAAUAUAGAAUCCGUACCGCAAACCGACACAGGUGAUCAGGUCGAGUAGACCAAGACGAACGAGUGAGUGGUCCCCAAGGAACUCGGCAAAAAAGCAGCCUAUUUCUAAAUAUUUGAGAGUGUUGGGAGAGUAAGAUUUAAGUAUCGAGCAAAAAGAGACAAUGAGGAAUUAAAUUAAAGCUCUUCAUCAUUUUUUAUUUCACAGAAUUUUUUUGUGAAGUAUCUAAAGUGGUGGGGGCCGCAGCGAAAGUUUCUCUGGCAACUGUUUACCAAAAACACAGCUCCCUGCGAACUCGUAAGAGGAUGUAUAGGGGGUGACACCUGACCAAUGCCAGAAGGUCAAAUAUCGGCGGUGUAUGUCGCAAGAUGUAUGCAGACUGAUAUAAGCCCUGGUGAAUGUCGGCCGUAACUAUAACGGUCCUAAGGUAGCGAAAUACCUUGUCGGGUAAGUUCCGACGCGCACGAAUGGUGUAAUGAGAAGAUGCCGGCUAAGUGCAGUUAGACGAAAAGACCCUAGAAGCUUUACUAUAACUUGAUAUUGAGCAUGUUUUUAAACUGCGUAGAAUAGAUGGGAGAGGUUUGAAGUGUACGGUUUCGGCUGUAUUCUACUCGUCAGUGAAAUACCAUUCUUUUUGAAGGCAUGUUCUAACCAAUACGGCAAAAACGUAUUGAGACAGUAUCUGGUGGAUAGUUUUACUGGGGCUGUACCCUCCUAAAAAGUAAAGGAGGGGUUUAAAGGUUAGCUAGGCGCGAAUGGAAACCGUGCCGAUAGUGUAAUGG
rnacentral:rRNA from 1 species